UACGUAUGGUGCAAGCGUUAUCCGGAUUUACUGGGUGUAAAGGGAGCGUAGGCGGUCCGUUAAGUCAGCGGUAAAAUUGCGGGGCUCAACCCCGUCGAGCCGUUGAAACUGGCAGUCUCGAGUUGGAGAGAAGUAUGCGGAAUGCGUGGUGUAGCGGUGAAAUGCAUAGAUAUCACGCAGAACCCCGAUUGCGAAGGCAGCAUGCCGGCUUCCGACUGACGCUGAAGCACGAAAGCGUGGGGAGCAAACAGG
rnacentral:rRNA from 1 species